rnacentral:rRNA from 1 species
CACACGACUCUCGGCAACGGAUAUCUCGGCUCUCGCAUCGAUGAAGAACGUAGCGAAAUGCGAUACCUGGUGUGAAUUGCAGAAUCCCGCGAACCAUCGAGUCUUUGAACGCAAAUUGCGCCCGAGGCCACUCGGCCGAGGGCACGCCUGCCUGGGCGUCACGC